AGUGAGCUGGUUUUUAAGUACAAAAAUGUUUACCUUUUAAAUACUUGUGUGUACAGUGACAUUCGGUUGGUCUGGUGUUUUUACAAACAUAAUAAGUAGAAUAUGCAUAUGAAUCUGAUAAUACACAGACCCACUAACAUAUAAAUCAAACCAUGUUUGUAAUUUACCAUUUUUGACCAAGAAUCCUGCCACUGUUCUUUCUUGUAAAGUUGACUUGAAAACGGUCCGCUCGUAAACACACUUUUACUUCGAUUAUCUAUGUUUAACACUGAAUGUUUAUAGCUUAAAAUAACUCUCCGUGAAAGUUGAGUACACAUAUUUUGCUAAUCCAUGCAUGUUAAACGAAUAUCUUCAUUAUUUGUAUUGUUAUUUGUAAUGUUCAGUAGAAAUCGGCAUGUGAUUUUUCCACUGUCCGCCAUCUUGGAAUGUCGACUUGUGGGUAAUUUUUGCAUAGCAACACACAGCGGUGUAAACAUAAAUCUCACCGGCGCUAUAUUUAAGCUUUAGGUAAGAAAGCUGCACUAUUUUUAGCAGACGUAAGGUCAUUAUUUAGUUCAUAUAGUCUGUUUUAAAUUGUUUUGUCAUUUAAAGUCUAUUUUAUUAUUUAUAAGUGUUAAGCGUGCGAGCGUUCCAUAAUUGGUCACGGCAGUUAUUGUGACCCGUUUUUGGUCACACUGUGACCAAUAUUUGGUCACAGUGACCAACUUCUGGUCACAGUGACAAAUUUCUGGUCACAAGUGGAACGCCGCGGCUAUAUAAAGUGACCAAAUUUUGGUCACAAGAUUCAUUCUAGUCAAAACCUUAAGGCAGGCAACAUCCACGCCAAUUUUUUUCUUAAAAAGUACUUUUUCUUUUCGUGAGUAAUUUAAGUAACUUAUAGUAACAGUAAUACCUUUGUAAGCAGAUAAUAAAGCGAACAUUUAACAUAUUUCAUUAAACUUGAGCAUCCGUUAAAGUAUUCAAUCUAUUUUGGUUAUGAUCGUUGGCAAUUGUCAUUGUUCCUUAAAUUCGACGAAGUCCCGUUUACGAGUGUAAUUUUCAUUGUCAAAAAUAUCACAGUGUGACGCUCAGUUUACCGUCGCAAGAUUGAAAGUACUGUAAAACCUUAAUUAAGGUUGCAUGUCAUUUUGUUGUUGGAAAUAUAACAUUUUGUUGAAUUAUUCGUGGAAACUGAAUAAAAGUUGUUUGAAGUUGAA